CAGCCGCCACGGUAAUACGAAGGGGGCUAGCGUUGUUCGGAAUUACUGGGCGUAAAGCGCACGUAGGCGGACAUUUAAGUCAGGGGUGAAAUCCCGGGGCUCAACCCCGGAACUGCCUUUGAUACUGGGUGUCUAGAGUAUGGAAGAGGUGAGUGGAAUUCCGAGUGUAGAGGUGAAAUUCGUAGAUAUUCGGAGGAACACCAGUGGCGAAGGCGGCUCACUGGUCCAUUACUGACGCUGAGGUGCGAAAGCGUGGGGAGCAAACAGGAUUAGAUACCCCAGUAGUCCCUGUCUCUUAUAC
rnacentral:rRNA from 1 species